rnacentral:rRNA from 1 species
GGAUUCCCCUAGUAACUGCGAGUGAAGCGGGAAAAGCUCAAAUUUAAAAUCUGGCAGUUCUUGCAGCUGUCCGAGUUGUAAUUUAGAGAAGUGCUAUCCGUGCUGGACCGUGUACAAGUCUCCUGGAACGGAGCGUCAUAGAGGGUGAGAAUCCCGUACAUGACACGGACUACCAGUGCAUUGUGAUGCGCUCUCAAAGAGUCGAGUUGUUUGGGAAUGCAGCUCAAAAUGGGUGGUAAAUUCCAUCUAAAGCUAAAUACAGGCGAGAGACCGAUAGCGAACAAGUACCGUGAGGGAAAGAUGAAAAGAACUUUGGAAAGAGAGUUAAACAGUACGUGAAAUUGUUGAAAGGGAAACGCUUGAAGUCAGUCGCGUUGUUCAGGGAUCAGCCUUGCUCUGCUUGGUGUACUUCCUGUUCGACGGGUCAGCAUCAGUUUUGACCGCUGGAAAAAGUUCUCAGGAAUGUGACAUCUUCGGAUGUGUUAUAGCCUGAGUCCGUAUACAGCGGUUGGGACUGAGGACUCAGCACUUAGAUGCUUGGGAUGCUGGCAUAAUGGCUUUAAGCGACCCGUCUUGAAACACGGACCAAGGAGUCUAACAUGCCCGCGAGUGUUUGGGUGGAAAACCCGAGCGCGUAAUGAAAGUGAAAAGUUGGGAUCUCUGUCGUGGAGAGCACCGACGCCCGGACCUGAUGUUUUCGGACGGAUCUGCGGUAGAGCGUGUAUGUUGGGACCCGAAAGAUGGUGAACUAUGCCUGAAUAGGGCGAAGCCAGAGGAAACUCUGGUGGAGGCUCGUAGCGAUUCUGACGUGCAAAUCGAUCGUCGAAUUUGGGUAUAGGGG